UUACGGUCAUAUCACGUUGAACUACCAGUUCUCGUACGACCACCGAAGUUAAGCAACGUCUAGCUUGGACAGUUCCUAGAUAGGUGACCACUUGGGAAUACCAGGUGCUGUAAG